GGUUUGGCUGUUCGCCAAUUAAAGCGGUACGCGAGCUGGGUUCAGAACGUCGUGAGACAGUUCGGUCUCCUAUCUGUUACGGGCGUUGAAUGUUGAGAAGGCUCUUUCCUAGUACGAGAGGACCGGAAAGAACGAACCUCUGGUGUGCCUGCUGUCCUGCCAAGGGCACCGCAGGGUAGCUAUGUUCGGGCAGGAUAACCGCUGAAAGCAUCUAAGCGGGAAGCCGAGCUCAAGAUAAGGUCACGUCAUUAGCUUGCUAAUGAGGAAGUCCUGGAAGAUGACCAGGUUGAUAGGUUGCAGGUGUACGCCCUGUGAGGGGUUCAGCCGAGCAAUACUAAUACGAU
rnacentral:rRNA from 1 species